rnacentral:rRNA from 2 species
GAUCAAGUGUCUGAAGGGCAUUUGGUGGAUGCCUUGGCAUGCACAGGCGAUGAAGGACGUGAUACGCUGCGAUAAGCGUCGGGGAGCUGCGAAUAAGCUUUGAUCCGGCGAUUUCCGAAUGGGGCAACCCACCUUCGACUACCGUUAAGUUUGAACUGUUGGAGUUCGAUGCAGCCAUUGGCUGGGUCGGGCGGCCUUCGGUGUUUGAUGCGAGGUUCUCUUGCCGCGAUGGUGAGGGUGCCCGCAGCAGAGCCCGACCGGGCUCCGGCCGGUCAGGCCGCGCCCGCGCAGCCGACGCUGAAAGCGUCUGGCGUGAGCGAAAACAACCCACAACAGCUCAAAUUAACGGUAGUCAUUUGAAGGUAUCUUUGACCUGAAUCAAAUAGGGUUAAAGAGGCGAACCCGGGGAACUGAAACAUCUCAGUACCUGGAGGAACGGACAUCAACCGAGACUCCGUCAGUAGCGGCGAGCGAACGCGGACCAGGCCAGUGGCCUUAUUCAAACAAGCUGAACACGUUGGAAAGCGUGGCGAGAUCGGGUGACAGCCCCGUAGGCGUAAUUUUGAAUAGGGUCCUCGAGUAGGGCGGGACACGUGAAAUCCUGUCUGAACAUGGGGGGACCACCCUCCAAGCCUAAGUACUCGUGCAUGACCGAUAGCGAACCAGUACCGUGAGGGAAAGGUGAAAAGCACCCCGACGAGGGGAGUGAAAGAGAACCUGAAACCGAAUGCCUACAAACAGUCGAAGCCCGCAAGGGUGACGGCGUACCUUUUGUAUAAUGGGUCAGCGACUUAGUCUGGCGAGCAAGCUUAAGCCGAUAGGUGUAGGCGCAGCGAAAGCGAGUCUGAACAGGGCGUUCAGUUCGUCGGAUUAGACCCGAAACCAAGUGAUCUAGCCAUGAGCAGGCUGAAGGUGCGGUAACACGCACUGAAGGGCCGAACCCAUAUCUGUUGCAAUAGAUCGGGAUGACUUGUGGCUAGGGGUGAAAGGCCAAUCAAACUUGGAAAUAGCUGGUUCUCCGCGAAAUCUAUUUAGGUAGAGCGUCGGCUGAAUGCUCCAGGGGGUAGAGCACUGGAUGGGCUAUGGGGACUCACCGUCUUACUGAUCCUAACCAAACUCCGAAUACCUGGAAGCACUAUCCGGCAGACAGACGGCGGGUGCUAACGUCCGUCGUCGAGAGGGCAACAACCCUGACCUCCAGCUAAGGUCCCCAAGUCAUGGCUAAGUGGGAAAGGAUGUGAAGUUUCCAAAACAACCAGGAUGUUGGCUUAGAAGCAGCCAUCAUUUAAAGAAAGCGUAACAGCUCACUGGUCUAAACAAGAGACUUUGCGCCGAAAAUGUACCGGGGCUGAAGCCAUGCACCGAAGCUGAGGAUUCAUCUUUUAGGAGAUGAGUGGUAGCGGAGCGUUCCAUAGGCCUGUGAAGGGAUACCCGUGAGGGGUCCUGGAGGUAUUGGAAGUGCGAAUGCUGACAUGAGUAACGAUAAAGGGAGUGAGAGACUCCCUCGCCGAAAAUCCAAGGGUUCCUGCUUAAAGUUAAUCUGAGCAGGGUUAGCCGGCCCCUAAGCCGAGGCCGAAAGGCGUAGGCGAUGGGAACCACGUUUAAUAUUCGUGGGCCUGGUGGGAAGUGACGGAUCGCGUGUGUUGUCUGGUCUUAACGGAUUGAUCAGGCAGCGAAGCGGUUCCAGGAAAGAGCCCCACCGUAUAGACCGUACCCGAAACCGACACAGGUGGAUUGGUAGAGCAUACCCAGGCGCUUGAGAGAACUGUGCUGAAGGAACUCGGCAAAUUGCACGCGUAACUUCGGAAGAAGCGUGACCCUUUUGCACGCAAGUGUUUGAGGGUGGCACAGACCAGGGGGUAGCGACUGUUUAUCAAAAACACAGGGCUCUGCGAAGUCGACAAGACGACGUAUAGGGUCUGACGCCUGCCCGGUGCUGGAAGGUUAAAAGGAGAGGUUCACGCCUUGAAUUGAAGCCCCAGUAAACGGCGGCCGUAACUAUAACGGUCCUAAGGUAGCGAAAUUCCUUGUCGGGUAAGUUCCGACCUGCACGAAUGGCGUAACGACUUCCCCGCUGUCUCCAGCACAGACUCAGUGAAAUUGAAUUCCCCGUGAAGAUGCGGGGUUCCUGCGGUCAGACGGAAAGACCCCGUGCACCUUUACUAUAGCUUUACACUGGCAUUCGUGUCGGCACGUGUAGGAUAGGUGGUAGGCUUUGAAGCGUGGACGCCAGUUUGCGUGGAGCCAUCCUUGAAAUACCACCCUUGCCGUCAUGGAUGUCUAACCGCGGUCCGUUAUCCGGAUCCGGGACAGUGUAUGGUGGGUAGUUUGACUGGGGCGGUCGCCUCCUAAAGAGUAACGGAGGCGCGCGAAGGUGGGCUCAGAGCGGUCGGAAAUCGCUCGUCGAGUGCAAUGGCAUAAGCCUGCCUGACUGCGAGACAGACAAGUCGAGCAGAGACGAAAGUCGGUCAUAGUGAUCCGGUGGUCCCCGAGUGGAAGGGCCAUCGCUCAACGGAUAAAAGGUACGCCGGGGAUAACAGGCUGAUGACCCCCAAGAGUCCAUAUCGACGGGGUUGUUUGGCACCUCGAUGUCGGCUCAUCGCAUCCUGGGGCUGGAGCAGGUCCCAAGGGUUUGGCUGUUCGCCAAUUAAAGCGGUACGUGAGCUGGGUUCAGAACGUCGUGAGACAGUUCGGUCCCUAUCUGCCGUGGGUGUAGGAGUAUUGACAGGAUCUGUCCCUAGUACGAGAGGACCGGGAUGGACGUAUCUCUGGUGGACCUGUUGUGGCGCCAGCCGCAUAGCAGGGUAGCUAUAUACGGUCGGGAUAACCGCUGAAGGCAUCUAAGCGGGAAACCCACCUGAAAACGAGUACUCCCUAUCAGAGCCGUGGUAGACCACCACGUCGAUAGGCCGGAUGUGGAAGCGCGGCAACGCGUGAAGCUGACCGGUACUAAUCGCUCGAUCGACUUGAUCGUUCCCAUU